rnacentral:rRNA from 1 species
CCUACGGGAGGCAGCAGUGGGGAAUUUUGGACAAUGGGCGCAAGCCUGAUCCAGCAAUGCCGCGUGCAGGAUGAAGGCCUUCGGGUUGUAAACUGCUUUUGUACGGAACGAAAAGGUCUGCCCUAAUACGGUGGGCUCAUGACGGUACCGUAAGAAUAAGCACCGGCUAACUACGUGCCAGCAGCCGCGGUAAUACGUAGGGUGCGAGCGUUAAUCGGAAUUACUGGGCGUAAAGCGUGCGCAGGCGGUUAUAUAAGACAGAUGUGAAAUCCCCGGGCUCAACCUGGGACCUGCAUUUGUGACUGUAUAGCUAGAGUACGGUAGAGGGGGAUGGAAUUCCGCGUGUAGCAGUGAAAUGCGUAGAUAUGCGGAGGAACACCGAUGGCGAAGGCAAUCCCCUGGACCUGUACUGACGCUCAUGCACGAAAGCGUGGGGAGCAAACAGGAUUAGAUACCCUGGUAGUCCACGCCCUAAACGAUGUCAACUGGUUGUUGGGUCUUCACUGACUCAGUAACGAAGCUAACGCGUGAAGUUGACCGCCUGGGGAGUACGGCCGCAAGGUUGAAACGUUAAAGGAAUUGACGGCUGAGACGCCCAAGGGCACGACAGGGGAUUAGGGG